rnacentral:rRNA from 1 species
UACGGGGGGGGCAAGCGUUGUUCGGAAUUACUGGGCGUAAAGGGCUCGUAGGCGGCCAACUAAGUCAGACGUGAAAUCCCUCGGCUUAACCGGGGAACUGCAUCUGAUACUGGAUGGCUUGAGUUCGGGAGAGGGAUGCGGAAUUCCAGGUGUAGCGGUGAAAUGCGUAGAGAUGUGGAGGAACACCAGUGGCGAAGGCGACUCUUUGGCCUGUAACUGACACUGAGGCGCGAAAGCGUGGGGAGCAAACAGG